rnacentral:rRNA from 1 species
AUGCUAAACAGGUUGCCCGGCCCUCCCGUCAAGCAUGGCCCUGGAUUCAGGCAAGGGGACCCCCUCUUCCCACUCCUCUUCAUCCUGGCAAUUGACCCCUUGCAUAAGAUUCUAGACUUGGCGACGCGAAAAUGGCUCCUCCAUAAGAUACGUGGGCGGGGUGCCAUGGUGGGCAUCUCCCUCUAUGUGGAUGACGCGGCGGUCUUUGUGGCCCCCAUCAAGCGGGACAUCGACAAUCUUGCCUCUAUCCCGAGAGGCUUUGGGGACGUCACAGGCCUUUGUUCCAACUUCAAAAAAAGCUCGGUUGUGCCUAUUCGUUGCAAUCACCUUGACCUUGAGCGAAUUCUUCAGAGCAUGCCGGCAGCAUGUGCCACUUUUCCGGUCAAAUACCUAGGCUACCACUCUCACUUUGGCAACUGA